rnacentral:rRNA from 1 species
UACGUAGGGUGCAAGCGUUAAUCGGAAUUACUGGGCGUAAAGCGUGCGCAGGCGGUUUUGUAAGUCUGUCGUGAAAUCCCCCGGGCUCAACCUGGGAAUUGCGAUGGAGACUGCAAGGCUAGAAUCUGGCAGAGGGGGGGUAGAAUUCCACGUGUGAGCAGUGAAAUGCGUAGAGAUGUGGAGGAACACCGAUGGCGAAGGCAGCCCCCUGGGUCAAGAUUGACGCUCAUGCACGAAAGCGUGGGGAGCAAACAGG